GGGGAUUUAGCUCAGUGGUAGAGCACUUGCCUAGCAAGCACAAGGCCCUGGGUUCGAUCCUCAGCUCCG
rfam:Rattus norvegicus chromosome 14, whole genome shotgun sequence.